CUUUUUUUUUUUUUUUUUUUUUUUUUUUUUUUUUUUUUUUUUUUUUU
rnacentral:ribozyme from 1 species